UUCUUGGUCAUUUAGAGGAAGUAAAAGUCGUAACAAGGUCUCCGUUGGUGAACCAGCGGGAGGGAUCAUUACAGAGUUAUACUACUCCCAUACCAUCUGUCACCCUACCCAGCUAUGCACUCGGCGUAAGCUCGGCCGGAGGGCGGUCCGGCGCUACCCUGUAGCGGCGGCCGCGCCACCUCGGCCGCGCCCGCCGUGCGGUACACUAAACUAUGUUUUACUUUACCUUCUGAGCGUCUUAUUUUAAUAAGUUAAAACUUUCAACAGACGGAUCUCUUGGUUCUGGCAUCGAUGAAGAACGCAGCGAAAUGCGAUAAGUAAUGUGAAUUGCAGAAUUCAGUGAAUCAUCGAAUCUUUGAACGCACAUUGCGCCCAUCAGUAUUUUGGUGGGCAUGCCUGUUCGAGCGUCAUUUCAACCCUUAAGCCUAGCUUAGUGUUGGGACUCUACUGUACUGUAGUUCCCCAAAGGCUUUGUGGCGGAGCGGCAGUGGUCCUCUGAGUCGUAGUAAUUCAUUUCUCGCUCCUGUCAGGCCCUAGUCCUCGCGCCGUAGGGGACCCCGAUGGUAUUUAGUUGUAUGACCUCUGUAAUGAUCAGGUAGGAAUACCCGCUGAACUUAAGCAUAUCAAUAAGACGGAGGA
rnacentral:rRNA from 1 species